rnacentral:rRNA from 1 species
GACGAACGCUGGCGGCGUGCCUAACACAUGCAAGUCGAACGGAAAGGCCAUGCUUUUGUGGGGUGCUCGUGAGGCGAACGGGUGAGUAAAACGUGUGUAACCUGCCCUUGACUUUGGGAUAACUCCAGGAAACUGGGGCUCAUAUCGGGUAGGAGCUCUUGCUGCAUGGUGGGGGUUGGUAAGAUUCGGCGGUUGGGGAUGGUCUCGCGGGUUAUCAGCUUGUUGGUGGGGUAGUGGCUUACCAAGGUUUCGACGGGUAGCCGGCCUGGGAGCGUGACCGGGCACAAUGGUACUGCGAUACGGCGCAGACGGGUACGGGAGGCAGCAGGGGGGAGCUUUGCACAGUGGGCGCGCGCGUGAUAUGGCGACGCCGCGUGCGUGAUGACCGCCUUCGAGUUGUAAACCGCUUUCGCCGGAGACGAAGCGGUAUUGACGGUAAUGGGUAAAGAAGCACCGGCUAACUACGUG